rnacentral:rRNA from 1 species
GUGACUGCGUACCUUUUGUAUAAUGGGUCAGCGACUUAUAUUCUGUAGCAAGGUUAACCGAAUAGGGGAGCCGGAGGGAAACCGAGUCUUAACCGGGCGUUAAGUUGCAGGGUAUAGACCCGAAACCCGGUGAUCUAGCCAUGGGCAGGUUGAAGGUUGGGUAACACUAACUGGAGGACCGAACCGACUAAUGUUGAAAAAUUAGCGGAUGACCUGUGGCUGGGGGUGAAAGGCCAAUCAAACCGGGAGAUAGCUGGUUCUCCCCGAAAGCUAUUUAGGUAGCGCCUCGUGAAUUCAUCUCCGGGGGUAGAGCACUGUUUCGGCUAGGGGGCCAUCCCGGCUUACCAACCCGAUGCAAACUGCGAAUACCGGAGAAUGUUAUCACGGGAGACACACGGCGGGUGCUAACGUCCGUCGUGAAGAGGGAAACAACCCAGACCGCCAGCUAAGGUCCCAAAGUCAUGGUUAAGUGGGAAACGAUGUGGGAAGGCCCAGACAGCCAGGAUGUUGGCUUAGAAGCAGCCAUCAUUUAAAGAAAGCGUAAUAGCUCACUGGUCGAGUCGGCCUGCGCGGAAGAUGUAACGGGGCUAAACCAUGCACCGAAGCUGCGGCAGCGACACUGUGUGUUGUUGGGUAGGGGAGCGUUCUGUAAGCCUGUGAAGGUGUGUCGUGAGGCAUGCUGGAGGUAUCAGAAGUGCGAAUGCUGACAUAAGUAACGAUAAAGCGGGUGAAAAGCCCGCUCGCCGGAAGACCAAGGGUUCCUGUCCAACGUUAAUCGGGGCAGGGUGAGUCGACCCCUAAGGCGAGGCCGAAAGGCGUAGUCGAUGGGAAACGGGUUAAUAUUCCCGUACUUGGUGUUACUGCGAAGGGGGGACGGAGAAGGCUAUGUUGGCCGGGCGACGGUUGUCCCGGUUUAAGCGUGUAGGUGUGUGUUCCAGGUAAAUCCGGUUCACUUUAACACUGAGGCGUGACGACGAGGCACUACGGUGCUGAAGCAACAAAUGCCCUGCUUCCAGGAAAAGCCUCUAAGCAUCAGGUAACAUCAAAUCGUACCCCAAACCGACACAGGUGGUCAGGUAGAGAAUACCAAGGCGCUUGAGAGAACUCGGGUGAAGGAACUAGGCAAAAUGGUGCCGUAACUUCGGGAGAAGGCACGCUGACACGUAGGUGAAGUGAUUUACUCAUGGAGCUGAAGUCAGUCGAAGAUACCAGCUGGCUGCAACUGUUUAUUAAAAACACAGCACUGUGCAAACACGAAAGUGGACGUAUACGGUGUGACGCCUGCCCGGUGCCGGAAGGUUAAUUGAUGGGGUCAGCGCAAGCGAAGCUCCUGAUCGAAGCCCCGGUAAACGGCGGCCGUAACUAUAACGGUCCUAAGGUAGCGAAAUUCCUUGUCGGGUAAGUUCCGACCUGCACGAAUGGCGUAAUGAUGGCCAGGCUGUCUCCACCCGAGACUCAGUGAAAUUGAACUCGCUGUGAAGAUGCAGUGUACCCGCGGCAAGACGGAAAGACCCCGUGAACCUUUACUAUAGCUUGACACUGAACAUUGAGCCUUGAUGUGUAGGAUAGGUGGGAGGCUUUGAAGUGUGGACGCCAGUCUGCAUGGAGCCGACCUUGAAAUACCACCCUUUAAUGUUUGAUGUUCUAACGUGGACCCGUUACCCGGGUUGCGGACAGUGUCUGGUGGGUAGUUUGACUGGGGCGGUCUCCUCCUAAAGAGUAACGGAGGAGCACGAAGGUUGGCUAAUCCUGGUCGGACAUCAGGAGGUUAGUGCAAUGGCAUAAGCCAGCUUGACUGCGAGCGUGACGGCGCGAGCAGGUGCGAAAGCAGGUCAUAGUGAUCCGGUGGUUCUGAAUGGAAGGGCCAUCGCUCAACGGAUAAAAGGUACUCCGGGGAUAACAGGCUGAUACCGCCCAAGAGUUCAUAUCGACGGCGGUGUUUGGCACCUCGAUGUCGGCUCAUCACAUCCUGGGGCUGAAGUAGGUCCCAAGGGUAUGGCUGUUCGCCAUUUAAAGUGGUACGCGAGCUGGGUUUAGAACGUCGUGAGACAGUUCGGUCCCUAUCUGCCGUGGGCGCUGGAGAACUGAGGGGGGCUGCUCCUAGUACGAGAGGACCGGAGUGGACGCAUCACUGGUGUUCGGGUUGUCAUGCCAAUGGCACUGCCCGGUAGCUAAAUGCGGAAGAGAUAAGUGCUGAAAGCAUCUAAGCACGAAACUUGCCCCGAGAUGAGUUCUCCCUGAGACUUAAAGUCUCCUGAAGGAACGUUGAAGACGACGACGUUGAUAGGCCGGGUGUGUAAGCGCAGCGAUGCGUUGAGCUAACCGGUACUAAUGAACCGUGAGGCUUAACCUUACAACGCCGAAG